rnacentral:rRNA from 1 species
AUGAACGCUAGCUACAGGCUUAACACAUGCAAGUCGAGGGGCAGCAUGGUCUUAGCUUGCUAAGGCCGAUGGCGACCGGCGCACGGGUGAGUAACACGUAUCCAACCUUCCGUCUACUCUUGGACAGCCUUCUGAAAGGAAGAUUAAUACAAGAUGGCAUCAUGAGUUCACAUGUUCACAUGAUUAAAGGUAUUCCGGUAGACGAUGGGGAUGCGUUCCAUUAGAUAGUAGGCGGGGUGACGGCUCACCUAGUCUUCGAUGGAUAGGGGUUCUGAGAGGAAGGUCCCCCACAUUGGAACUGAGACACGGUCCAAACUCCUACGGGAGGCAGCAGUGAGGAAUAUUGGUCAAUGGGCGCAGGCCUGAACCAGCCAAGUAGCGUGAAGGAUGACUGCCCUAUGGGUUGUAAACUUCUUUUAUAAAGGAAUAAAGUCGGGUAUGUAUACCCGUUUGCAUGUACUUUAUGAAUAAGGAUCGGCUAACUCCGUGCCAGCAGCCGCGGUAAUACGGAGGAUCCGAGCGUUAUCCGGAUUUAUUGGGUUUAAAGGGAGCGUAGAUGGAUGUUUAAGUCAGUUGUGAAAGUUUGCGGCUCAACCGUAAAAUUGCAGUUGAUACUGGAUAUCUUGAGUGCAGUUGAGGCAGGCGGAAUUCGUGGUGUAGCGGUGAAAUGCUUAGAUAUCACGAAGAACUCCGAUUGCGAAGGCAGCCUGCUAAGCUGCAACUGACAUUGAGGCUCGAAAGUGUGGGUAUCAAACAGGAUUAGAUACCCUGGUAGUCCACACGGUAAACGAUGAAUACUCGCUGUUUGCGAUAUACUGCAAGCGGCCAAGCGAAAGCGUUAAGUAUUCCACCUGGGGAGUACGCCGGCAACGGUGAAACUCAAAGGAAUUGACGGGGGCCCGCACAAGCGGUGGAGCAUGUGGUUUAAUUCGAAGCAACGCGAAGAACCUUACCAGGCCUUGACAUCCCGGUGACCGUCCCGUAAUGGGGACCUCUCUUCGGAGCACCGGUGACAGGUGGUGCAUGGUUGUCGUCAGCUCGUGCCGUGAGGUGUCGGCUUAAGUGCCAUAACGAGCGCAACCCUUGUUGUCAGUUACUAACAGGUUCCGCUGAGGACUCUGACAAGACUGCCAUCGUAAGAUGUGAGGAAGGUGGGGAUGACGUCAAAUCAGCACGGCCCUUACGUCCGGGGCUACACACGUGUUACAAUGGGGGGUACAGAGGGCCGCUACCACGCGAGUGGAUGCCAAUCCCCAAAACCUCUCUCAGUUCGGACUGGAGUCUGCAACCCGACUCCACGAAGCUGGAUUCGCUAGUAAUCGCGCAUCAGCCACGGCGCGGUGAAUACGUUCCCGGGCCUUGUACACACCGCCCGUCAAGCCAUGGGAGCCGGGGGUACCUGAAGUGCGUAACCGCGAGGAGCGCCCUAGGGUAAAACUGGUGACUGGGGCU